AAAUAUUACGACAAGGCCGAAAACUUCUAAUUUUCUUCCAAGCGGUUCAAUUCCGUUUAUAUUU
rnacentral:tRNA from 1 species